rnacentral:rRNA from 1 species
UACGGAGGGUGCGAGCGUUGUCCGGAAUCACUGGGCGUAAAGGGCGCGUAGGUGGCGCGGGCAGUCAACGGUGAAAGUUCGGGGCUCAACCCUGAAUCGGCCGUCGAUACUCCCGUGCUGGAGCACUGUAGAGGCUAAUGGAAUUCCGGGUGUAGCGGUGGAAUGCGUAGAGAUCCGGAAGAACACCGGUGGCGAAGGCGGUUAGCUGGGCAGUUGCUGACACUGAGGCGCGACAGCGUGGGGAGCGAACAGG